rnacentral:rRNA from 1 species
AUUGAACGCUGGCGGCAUGCUUUACACGUGCAAGUCGAACGGCAGCGCGGGGCAACCUGGCGGCGAGUGGCGAACGGGUGAGUAAUAUAUCGGAACGUACCCAGAAGUGGGGGAUAACGUAGCGAAAGUUACGCUAAUACCGCAUACGAUCUACGGAUGAAAGUAGGGGACCGCAAGGCCUUAUGCUUUUGGAGCGGCCGAUAUCUGAUUAGCUAGUUGGUGAGGUAAAGGCUCACCAAGGCGACGAUCAGUAGCUGGUCUGAGAGGACGACCAGCCACACUGGAACUGAGACACGGUCCAGACUCCUACGGGAGGCAGCAGUGGGGAAUUUUGGACAAUGGGCGCAAGCCUGAUCCAGCAAUGCCGCGUGAGUGAAGAAGGCCUUCGGGUUGUAAAGCUCUUUUGUCAGGGAAGAAACGGUAGAGGCUAAUAUCCUUUGCUAAUGACGGUACCUGAAGAAUAAGCACCGGCUAACUACGUG